rnacentral:rRNA from 1 species
UACGUAGGGGCCAAGCGUUGUCCGGAUUUAUUGGGCGUAAAGAGCUCGUAGGCGGUUUGGCAAGUCGAAUGUGAAAUCUCCACGCUCAACGUGGAGGGGUCAUUCGAUACUGCCGUGACUUGAGUACGGUAGGGGAGUGUGGAAUUCCCGGUGUAGCGGUGAAAUGCGCAGAGAUCGGGAGGAACACCCGUAGCGAAGGCGGCACUCUGGGCCGAUACUGACGCUGAGGAGCGAAAGCGUGGGGAGCGAACAGG